GACCGGAGCUGUUAACUCCUGCCUGUGUUAUAGAGAGCUAGUGAGCUGUGUCAUGGAGUGUUGUGUUAUGGAGAGCUGGUGAGCUGUGUUUUGGAGAGCUGUGUUAUAGAGUGUUGUGUUAUGGAGAGUUGUGUUAUAGAGUGUUGUGUUAUGGAGAGCUGGUGAGCUGUGUUUUGGAGAGCUGUGUUAUGGAGUGUUGUGUUAUGGAGAGCUGGUGAGCUGUGUUUUGGAGAGCUGUGUCAUAGAGUGUUGUGUUAUGGAGUGUUGUGUUAUGGAGAGCUGGUGAGCUGUGUUUUGGAGAGCUGUGUCAUAGAGUGUUGUGUUAUGGAGAGCUGUGUUAUAGCGUGUUGUGUUAUGGAGAGCUGUGUUAUGGAGAGCUAGUGAGCUGUGUUAUGGAGAGCUAGUGAGCUGUGUUUUGGAGAGCUAGUGAGCUGUGUUAUAGAGUGUUGUGUUAUGGAGUGUUAUGUUAUGGAGAGCUGUGUUAUAGAGUGUUGUGUUAUGGAGAGCUGUGUUAUGGAGAGCUAGUGAGCUGUGUUAUGGAGAGCUAGUGAGCUGUGUUUUGGAGAGCUAGUGAGCUGUGUUAUAGAGUGUUGUGUUAUGGAGAGCUGUGUUAUGGAGAGCUAGUGAGCUGUGUUAUGUAUAGCUUCUAUAGGGAAAAAGCUAUCCUUUUAAAAGCUGACUAACUGCCUGAGAUGCACAGCUCAUAGAAUAGACAUAAUUCAUCCCAUUUCAUCUUCUCUACAUUUUAUACUCUCCAAAGUGAUACUGUACUCUAAAUGUAAUUAUUUCAUUAUAUGGCACAUUUAUGUCCAUAUUCAUCUUAUAUGGUUUGGCACAGAUUCUUCUGCUAAAAUAAAUCUUUGGAUAGUCUGAGGAAAGUUAAAUCUAGUUUACAACUGAGAUAAAAAAGUACUGUAGUUAUAAAAUUUGCUCUGAAAUGGUCAAUAAACCAUUCAACAACAAAUCACCUGGAGGAUCCUGCUAAGAUAUUAAAAGGUGACUAGAACCUGACAGCUUGUCACCCAGGGCCUAUACCAGCCUUGGGUUCAGCCCGAAAUAGAGAGUACAGCAUGACUGCUCUUCUGUUGCAUCAUCCACACCGGGAGCGGACUGAUCCCAGUUCAGUGUGACUGCUCUUCUGUUGCAUCAUCCACACCGGGAGCGGACUGAUCCCAGUCGUUCAUUAAGAGGAC